ACGUACACUCCUACGGGAGGCAGCAGUGGGGAAUAUUGCACAAUGGGCGCAAGCCUGAUGCAGCCAUGCCGCGUGUAUGAAGAAGGCCUUCGGGUUGUAAAGUACUUUCAGCGGGGAGGAAGGCGAUAAGGUUAAUAACCUUGUCGAUUGACGUUACCCGCAGAAGAAGCACCGGCUAACUCCGUGCCAGCAGCCGCGGUAAUACGGAGGGUGCAAGCGUUAAUCGGAAUUACUGGGCGUAAAGCGCACGCAGGCGGUCUGUCAAGUCGGAUGUGAAAUCCCCGGGCUCAACCUGGGAACGGCAUUCGAAACUGGCAGGCUAGAGUCUUGUAGAGGGGGGUAGAAUUCCAGGUGUAGCGGUGAAAUGCGUAGAGAUCUGGAGGAAUACCGGUGGCGAAGGCGGCCCCCUGGACAAAGACUGACGCUCAGGUGCGAAAACGUGGGGAGCAAACAGGAUUAGAAACCCCUAUAGUCCC
rnacentral:rRNA from 1 species